GGCCGCGGCCGCCGCGCUCCGGGCUCGGCGAGGAGGCGGAGGUCGGCGGGAGCAGGAUGACGGUGCUGCAGGAACCCGUCCAGGCUGCUAUAUGGCAAGCGCUUAACCACUAUGCUUACCGCGAUGCAGUAUUCCUUGCAGAAAGACUAUAUGCAGAAGUACAUUCAGAAGAAGCACUGUUUUUAUUGGCAACAUGUUACUACCGCUCAGGAAAGGCAUAUAAAGCAUAUAGGCUUUUAAAGGGACAUAGCUGUACUACUCCACAGUGUAAAUACCUGCUUGCAAAAUGUUGUGUUGACCUCAGCAAGCUCGCAGAAGGAGAGCAGAUCUUGUCUGGUGGAGUGUUGAAUAAACAGAAAAGCCAUGAUGAUAUUGUUACGGAGUUUGGAGACUCUGCAUGCUUUACACUCUCCUUACUGGGACAUGUCUAUUGCAAGACGGACCGGCUUGCCAAAGGAUCAGAAUGUUACCAAAAGAGCCUUAGUUUGAAUCCUUUCCUCUGGUCCCCUUUUGAAUCGCUAUGUGAAAUUGGUGAAAAACCAGACCCUGACCAAACGUUUAAAUUAACAUCUUUACAAAACUUCAGCAGCUGCCUGCCUAACACUUGCACAACAGUGGUAUCUAAUCACAACAUAUCCCACAGACAGUCUGAGACUGUUCUUAUGGAAACGCCACAAGACACAAUUGAGUUGAACAGACUCAACUUAGAAUCCUCCAAUUCAAAAUAUUCUUCCCUGAACACGGAUUCCUCCAUGUCUUACAUUGACUCAGCUGUAAUUUCACCAGAUGCUGUCCCUCUUGGAUCAGGAACUGCCAUAUUGUCUAAACAGGCUCAAAAUAAACCAAAAACUGGGCGGAGUUUGCUCGGGGGACCUGCAGCUUUGAGCCCCCUAACUCCAAGCUUUGGAAUCUUGCCACUAGAAACUCCAAGCCCUGGUGAUGGAUCGUAUUUGCAAAACUACACAAACUCUUCUUCUGUGAUUGAUGUGCCAUCUACAGGAGCACCUUCAAAGAAGGCUGUCACCAGGAUAAGCCAAGCUGGAACAAAAUCUGUCUUCUCACAAAGCGGAAAUAGCCGGGAAGUCACUCCAGUCCUUGUUGCACAAACGCAGAGCUCUGGCCCACAGACAAGUACAACACCUCAGGUAUUGAGCCCAACAAUUGCUGCUCCCCCAAAUGCACUGCCUCGGAGAAGCUCUCGCCUGUUUACUAGUGAUAGCUCUACAACAAAGGAAAAUAGCAAAAAAUUAAAAAUGAAGUUUCCACCUAAGAUUCCAAACAGAAAAACAAAAAGUAAAACAAAUAAAGGAGGAAUAACUCAACCAAACAUAAAUGACAGUCUGGAAAUUACCAAACUGGAGUCUUCCAUCAUUUCAGAAGGGAAAAUUUCUACUGUCACUCCACAGAUUCAAGCUUUUACGCUACAGAAAGCAGCAGCAGAAGGUUUGAUGAGCCUUCUUCGUGACAUGGGGAAAGGUUAUUUAGCCUUGUGUUCAUACAACUGUAAAGAAGCGAUAAAUAUUUUAAGCCAUUUACCAUCUCACCACUACAACACUGGUUGGGUACUGUGCCAAAUUGGGAGAGCUUACUUUGAACUUGCAGAAUAUAUGCAGGCUGAAAGGAUAUUCUCAGAAGUAAGGAGGAUUGAAAACUACAGAGUAGAAGGCAUGGAGAUCUAUUCCACCACGCUGUGGCAUCUGCAGAAGGAUGUUGCCCUUUCAGUUCUAUCAAAGGAUUUGACAGACAUGGACAAAAACUCACCAGAGGCAUGGUGUGCUGCAGGAAACUGUUUCAGCUUGCAACGAGAGCAUGACAUUGCAAUCAAGUUCUUCCAGAGAGCCAUUCAAGUUGAUCCAAACUAUGCUUAUGCAUACACCCUGUUGGGGCAUGAAUUUGUGUUAACAGAAGAACUAGACAAAGCAUUAGCUUGUUUUAGAAAUGCAAUCAGAGUCAACCCUAGACACUAUAAUGCAUGGUAUGGGUUGGGUAUGAUUUAUUACAAACAGGAAAAAUUCAGUCUAGCAGAAAUGCAUUUCCAGAAAGCACUUGAUAUCAAUCCUCAGAGCUCAGUCUUAUUGUGUCACAUUGGAGUAGUUCAGCAUGCACUGAAAAAAUCUGAAAAGGCUUUGGAUACUCUAAACAAAGCUAUUAACAUUGACCCUAAGAACCCACUAUGCAAAUUCCAUAGAGCUUCUGUAUUAUUUGCAAAUGAAAAAUACAAGUCUGCUUUACAAGAACUUGAAGAACUGAAACAGAUUGUUCCCAAAGAGUCUCUUGUUUACUUUUUAAUAGGAAAGGUUUAUAAAAAACUGGGUCAAACUCAUUUGGCCCUAAUGAAUUUCUCAUGGGCAAUGGACUUAGAUCCCAAAGGAGCCAACAACCAGAUCAAAGAGGCCAUUGAUAAACGUUACCUUCCAGAUGAUGAGGAACCAAUAACUCAAGAAGAGCAAAUCAGUGAAUGUUAUCCGUACGAAUCAGUUGGCACAGACGAAUCCCAAGAGAGCAGCAUGACAGAUGCAGAUGACACACAGCUCCAUGCAGUUGAAAGUGAUGAAUUUUAACCUCCAGAAGCCAGUAUCUGGGCUUGAGGGUGUGACUUGGUACUGUUGUGUUCUCCCUUUCCUUUGCAUCCUGGGUCUUCACAUCACUGAGCCAGCACUGAGCCAGUGUUAUUCUCCACUGACACCAUGAGUACACCACUCAGACUGAAACUGUACGCAGAAUUAAUGGCAGAGCAAUAUUCAGCUGCUACUGAGUCUGACCAGUUGGCUCUUACACACUUAUGAAAAUGACUGAGGAGGAAAUGCUAUUUUUGGACUCCCCUUUGCUGGAAGAAUAUCAUGGAAGAAAGACUUGUGGUUUGCUGUAAUGGAGCCAGUAGAUGUGGGGAUAGUGCUAAUGAAGCAAUGUCUUGUUCUUUUUCAAGAAAUAUGUCUUAGUUUGGUUCUUUCUUGAUCAGCCUGUGUCUGGAAGGUGGAUGAAUUGCCUGGAAAAUCAUGGAGUGUUUCAGCUGACCCGAGUGUACUGAAUCUUGCAAGGCUUGUUGUGGUGAUGGAUGGGCUGGGGUGAUUCUUUUUCUUGAGUCCUCCCUGAAGAGACUGCCAGGGUUCCUGUUUCCCGAGAGCUCAACUGCAUCUGUAACGAAGUCCAUACGUAGUGCCUGUGAGUUACCCGUAUUUGUAGUUACCUUAUUUUCCCAUCCAGCCUCAGCAUAUGCGUCCAGCUUCCACCUGCGUUCCUCCCACUAAGGUCUCCUCAAGGAUGAGUUACUAAGAAGCACCUAAGGUCUAGAGGCAGCAUUUACUGUGAAUGCCACUAAUUAACGUGUUAAUUGGCUGCCUUUUUGUUCCCAACACUUAGGUUUUAUAAGAAAAAAAAAAAAAAAAAAGGGUGGUGGUGGGGGGGUCGUUUCCAUCUACCUGGGAGCUAGAAAACUCUCAUUUGGAGCCAGCGGGGGGUUGUCAUUGUAUGUAGAGAUAACACUGAGCACUUCUAGUCCCCAAAAUUGCCCCCCUUUUUUUCUUUUCAGUUUUAAAAAGAGCAGAUGCUACUCUCAUGACUCUUUUCAAAACAAACACUGUUUGUUUAACUGGGGACCAGAGAUCUAGGAAACUAGGUGGGGUUUUUUCCCUUUUAUUUUGUUCUUUGAAAGUUGUGAACCAUUGUGGCAUAAUUUUUCUAAUAGCCUGGAAAGAGCUCUUUAUUCAGAUGGGAUUUUAGAAGGAUACUCAUGUUACCCUGAAGAUUUAAUACUCAAAAAUUGUACCUUAAGAAUUUUUCCAGUAAUUUCAAGUAAUACUUAGACCAUGCUGCUAUUUUACCUUUGAAACAGAUACCCCAAAUCAAUAUUAAUAAAAUUUUGCUCUCUUUGAAGAGGGGUGAGGAGAAGGGCAAGCAUAAAGGCACUCUGACAGCCAGGUUAGAGCAAGUGUGUUUGCUGAAAAGAAUUAGGGAACUGUCAUUUUAUUACAACAAAAAUACGGAAAAAUGCGAAGUGUGGGUGUGGUGUGUACUAUUUGCAUUGAAACAAUGUUGUCUUUUUUUUUGCUUUUUCUGACUUUUUAUUUCAAAAAUUGUACAGUCUUAGAAAAAAAAGUCUUUUCUGUUAAUAUAUUUGCAAUUCAUUAAAGGAUGUGGAAAAUCCAAAUAAACUACUUUUAAAAGCAGGCUUA